AGAGUUUGAUCCUGGCUCAGGACGAACGCUGGCGGCGUGCCUAACACACGCAAGUCGAGCGAGAAAGCCCCUUCGGGGGUUAGUAAAGCGGCGGACGGGUGAGUAACACGUGAGCGAUCUACCCAAGGGUGGGGGACAACUCAGGGAAACCUGAGCUAAUACCACGUACAGCGCCGGCUUGGAAGCCUGGCGUGAAAGGUGGCCUCUACUUGUAAGCUACCGCCUUUGGAUGAGCUCGCGGCCUAUCAGCUUGUUGGUGGGGUAAUGGCCUACCAAGGCAAUGACGGGUAGCUGGCGUGAGAGCGCGACCAGCCACACUGGGACUGAGACACGGCCCAGACUCCUACGGGAGGCAGCAGUGGGGAAUAUUGCGCAAUGGGCGAAAGCCUGACGCAGCGACGCCGCGUGGGGGAGGAAGGCCUCAGGGUUGUAAACCCCUGUCAGGUGGGACGAAACCCGUAGUGUCGAAUAGGCAUUACGAUUGACGGUACCACCAAAGGAAGCUCCGGCUAACUCAGUGCCAGCAGCCGCGGUAAUACUGGGGGAGCGAGCGUUGUUCGGAAUUACUGGGCGUAAAAGGCGCGUAGGCGGCUUGGUCAGUCGCGUGUGAAAGGCCGGGGCUCAACCCCGAGCACUGCACGUGAUACUGCCUGGCUCGAGAGAGGUAGGGGCGAGCGGAAUUUCCGGUGUAGCGGUGGA
rnacentral:rRNA from 1 species